UGGGGAAUAUUGCACAAUGGGCGCAAGCCUGAUGCAGCCAUGCCGCGUGUGUGAAGAAGGCCUUCGGGUUGUAAAGCACUUUCAGCGAGGAGGAAGGUGGUGAGCUUAAUACGCUCAUCAAUUGACGUUACUCGCAGAAGAAGCACCGGCUAACUCCGUGCCAGCAGCCGCGGUAAUACGGAGGGUGCAAGCGUUAAUCGGAAUUACUGGGCGUAAAGCGCACGCAGGCGGUUUGUUAAGUCAGAUGUGAAAUCCCCGGGCUCAACCUGGGAACUGCAUUUGAAACUGGCAAGCUAGAGUCUCGUAGAGGGGGGUAGAAUUCCAGGUGUAGCGGUGAAAUGCGUAGAGAUCUGGAGGAAUACCGGUGGCGAAGGCGGCCCCCCUGGACGAAGACUGACGCUCAGGUGCGAAAGCGUGGGGCAGCAAACAGGAUUAGAUACCCUGGUAGUCCAGCGCUGUAAACGAUGUCGAUUUGGAGGUUGUGCCCUUGAGGCGUGGCUUCCGGAGCUAACGCGUUAAAUCGACCGCCUGGGGAGUACGGCCGCAAGGUUAAAA
rnacentral:rRNA from 1 species